rnacentral:rRNA from 1 species
AACGAACGCUGGCGGCAUGCCUAACACAUGCCAGUCGAACGAGACCUUCGGGUCUAGUGGCGCACGGGUGCGUAACGCGUGGGAACCUGCCCUUAGGUUCGGAAUAACUCCCCGAAAGGGGUGCUAAUACCGGAUAAUGUCUUCGGACCAAAGAUUUAUCGCCUUUGGAUGGGCCCGCGUUGGAUUAGCUAGUUGGUAGGGUAAAAGCCUCCCAAGGCGACGAUCCAUAGCUGGUCUGAGAGACUGAUCAGCCACACUGGGACUGAGACACGGCCCAGACUCCUACGGGAGGCAGCAGUGGGGAAUAUUGGACAAUGGGCGAAAGCCUGAUCCAGCAAGGCCGGGUGAGUGAUGAAGGCCUUAGGGUUGUAAAGCUCUUUUACCCGGGAUGAUAAUGACAGUACCGGGAGAAUAAGCUCCGGCUAACUCCGUG